rnacentral:rRNA from 1 species
UAGUCCACGCCCUAAACGAUGCUUACUCGAUGUUUGUAUUUAUAUGAGCAUCCAAGGGAAACCGUUAAGUAAGCCACCUGGGGAGUACGUUCGCAAGAAUGAGACUCAAAGGAAUUGACGGGGGUCCACACAAGCGGUGGAGCAUGUGGUUUAAUUCGAUGAUACGCGAGGAACCUUACCUAGGCUCGAACGCUAUUCGACCACACCUGAAAGGGUGUUUCUCUUCGGAGUGGAUAGUGAGGUGCUGCAUGGUUGUCGUCAGCUCGUGCCGUGAGGUGUUGGGUUAAGUCCCGCAACGAGCGCAACCCUUAUUCUUAGUUGCCAGCAUGUAAUGAUGGGGACUCUAGGAAGACUGCCGGCGUAAGCCGUGAGGAAGGUGGGGACGACGUCAAAUCAUCAUGGGCCUUUA